rnacentral:tRNA from 1 species
UGUGGGAUAGACUAAAAAUAAGAAGUCUUGGGGCUCAUGACCCUACAAUGCAGGAUUACUUGCCUGCUCCCACAG